CAGCCCGGCCAUAGCGGCCGGGAAACACCCGGACUCAUUCCGAACCCGGAAGUUAAGCCGGCCGCGUUAGAGGUCCAGUGGGGUCCGCGAGGCCCUGCAGGGCCUCUAAGCUGGGGCUGA
rnacentral:rRNA from 1 species